rnacentral:rRNA from 1 species
CUACGGGUGGCUCCAGUGAGGAAUAUUGCACAAUGGGGGGAACCCUGAUGCAGCAACGCCGCGUGGAGGAUGACGCAUUUCGGUGUGUAAACUCCUUUUAUAUGUCAAGAAAAUGACGGUAGCAUAUGAAUAAGCACCGGCUAACUCCGUGCCAGCAGCCGCGGUAAUACGGAGGGUGCAAGCGUUACUCGGAAUCACUGGGCGUAAAGGACGCGUAGGCGGGUUGGAAAGUCAGGUGUGAAAUCCUACAGCUUAACUGUAGAACUGCACUUGAAACUUCUAAUCUAGAGUAUGGGAGGGGGAGAUGGAAUUAGUGGUGUAGGGGUAAAAUCCGUAGAUAUCACUAGGAAUACCGAAAGCGAAGGCGAUCUCCUGGAACAUUACUGACGCUAAGGCGUGAAAGCGUGGGGAGCAAACAGGAUUUGAUACCCGCGUAGUC